rnacentral:lncRNA from 1 species
AAGACAAAACGCUAGAAAACACAAAAUUAGAAAGUAAAAAUAAAUGUUGGAGAUCAUAAGAAUGCAAAAUAUCCAACAGAAAAGGUGAGCAAAUCACCUAGUAGGAAAUUAGGAAUAAACUAUAGUACUCCUUAUUUAAUGAUGAAGCCUCUUUUUUUCCUUCAUUAGGGAAUAUCACUUCCUUUACAAUCACCAAUCCUGCUACGAAGGAAUUUCCUAUUUAACGUCUCAAAAAAAGGUAUUUCCUAAUUAAAAGUAGUUUUGCUUUUCUAAAGUUUCGACCUUGUAGUUCAUUUCCAACAUCACUUAUAGAGUUCUUGUAGCUAUGCUAUUUACUUAAACCCAAUUUUAGUUACCAAUAUUGAAUUUGAUGAUUAUCCAGGUGGAGAGAGUAAUUAUUUGUUCAAUUACUGUCAAAUUAUUUCAAACUCAGAAAAGGUAAGGGUACUGUAUUGAGUUGGGCUACAUGAUAGUAUACCUAAGAUUCUCGAGAGCUAUAGUUCUAUAUUUAUGAUGGUGUGUUAGUAUAUGAUCUAUUGGCAUAAUUUGUUGGUGUGUUUUUAUGAUGGUGUGUUAGUAUAUGAUCUAUUGGCAUAAUUUGUUGGUGUGUUUGAAAAAUUUAUGUUCCAUAGGCAAGCUCAAGUUGUUUAUGCAUUUUAACAUGGACCCUAAAAACUAAUACUACAUUUUAAUUUAUCGUGAUUUCAAUGAGUAAGAGAGAAAAUGCAUGUUAUGGAGACAUACCCAAGUGCAAGAUAAUGCUCACUACGCCCGAGGAGAUGUAACUCUUGUAGAAGUGAAUGUCGGCGAACGAGCACGUGCCUGAGAAUAAUCUAGAAAAAAGAAUCACAUGAAUAUUUAAACAAAUCAUAUUUAUCUUUUUUACUGGGGAGGGGGAGCAGUGGGGUUUGAACCCUAGUACAAACAGGAGUUCGCUUCGCUUGGUGUCCCCUUGAGGACAUCAAACAAAUCAUAUUAAUACUACUACAUUUUGUACAAAAAUUAGUACAUGAAAAAUUAAGAAUAUCAAAGUUUAAUUAAAAUCCUACUUAUUCAUAAUUAAAAAAUUAACUAAAAUCCUAUUGACAUAAUUAUAUCGAGCAUCCCUAUUUUGGAAGCACCCGAUUAUAUUUUUGUCCAGUACUUCCAAUAUACCUACGGAAAUUACUUCAAUCAUUAAACAUUGCAAAAGUAAUAAAUUAAUCAAACAAUAAUUAAAUCAAUUAUAUUCAAUUAAUUAAUCAAAAUAAGUCUAAGUUAAAACUCUAGGCCCAUUCCUUAAUCCUUAUCAUCAAAUCCAACAAUAUUUCAUUAUCAUCAUCUGUACUCAUGAUCCAUUCCAAACACACUAUUAUUAUCAAUCGAAGAUAGAGACUUAGUUAAAAUCCCCUGUUCCACGGUGCUAUCUCUACUCUCUCAUUCUCGGUUGCACCCAUAGUCACCUCUCUUUGUGUACCCUGUCAAUACUGUCUCACAGCUUCAUCUGCCUCUGCACUUCACAUUUGCAACAGAGAAUGAAUCUCAUCCCCGGCUAUCAAAUCUCAAAUCCCUCUUCUUCUUAAUUUUCGGCGAAUAACCAGAACGGUUUGUUCUCUCCAUCAAUCAGCCGUCCGCCUAUAUCUCACCGCCGUUCCCUAUCGUCGACCACUCUCCUCAGCUCGGCCCGACAAUCAGCAGCUAAGAAAACUGCGUCGAUGUUGCCGACCAGCACUCUCAACACAGACAACAACACAAGAAAUUGAGCCACAACUCAGCCAAAUUCCCAAUCGUCGACCCACCCUGCACACCUAAGCUGCUGCCGAUGCCAACGCCAACCCACACCCUCAACGCAAGCAACAAAUCAAGAAACCCAGCCCCAAGACUAUAGUUCUAUUGUGUUGUGCUGUGCUCAGUUUUGUGAAAAAAUUUCUAGGGUUCAUCAGAAAAUUUAAUGAUAAAAUGCAGGUUUAAGAAAUCAAAGCUCACCUCCUUAUUUUGCUGGUGUAAUGGAUUUCUCUUUUGUGGAUUUUGGUUGAAUUUUGAUCUGACUUUGCACUUUCACCGUCGAAUUUGGGGGAGAUUCUUACGGCAGAACUCCUUUUUUCUUUUCGUCGCCGGAAUUGUAUCAGAUGGUCAAAGUGAAAAACAAAAAUUUGUGAAUCUGAUGAGAUAGACUCAAAUAUUGGAAAAAGGUCACAAAUGGAACGAAAAUUACGAAAAUGCCAUGGGCACUAUUUUUACUACAGUACUAUUCCUCACAAUAGUACCC